AUGCUCACUUCGGCAGCACAUGGACUAAAAUUGGAACGAUACAGAGAAGAUUAGUAUGGCCCCUGUGCAAGGAUGACACGCAAAUUUCUGAAGCGUUUCUUAGUUUU
rnacentral:snRNA from 1 species